rnacentral:rRNA from 1 species
UACGAAGGGGGCGAGCGUUGUUCGGAAUUACUGGGCGUAAAGGGCGCGCAGGCGGCCUUAGAAGUCAGAUGUGAAAGCCCCGGGCUCAACCUGGGAAUGGCAUUUGAUACUCUGAGGCUGGAGUACGGGAGAGGAGAGUGGAAUUCCCAGUGUAGAGGUGAAAUUCGUAGAUAUCAGGAGGAACACCGAUGGCGAAGGCAGGUCACUGGGCCGCAACUGACGCUGAGGAGCGAAAGCAUGGGGAGCGAACAGG